rnacentral:rRNA from 1 species
AUGCGCCUUGCCGCGUGUAUGAAGAAGGCCUUCGGGUUGUAAAGUACUUUCAGUUGUGAGGAAGGGGGUGUCGUUAAUAGCGGCAUCUCUUGACGUUAGCAACAGAAGAAGCACCGGCUAACUCCGUGCCAGCAGCCGCGGUAAUACGGAGGGUGCGAGCGUUAAUCGGAAUUACUGGGCGUAAAGCGCAUGCAGGUGGUUCAUUAAGUCAGAUGUGAAAGCCCGGGGCUCAACCUCGGAACUGCAUUUGAAACUGGUGAACUAGAGUACUGUAGAGGGGGGUAGAAUUUCAGGUGUAGCGGUGAAAUGCGUAGAGAUCUGAAGGAAUACCAGUGGCGAAGGCGGCCCCCUGGACAGAUACUGACACUCAGAUGCGAAAGCGUGGGGAGCAAACAGGAUUAGAUACCCUGGUAGUCCACGCCGUAAACGAUGUCUACUUGGAGGUUGUGGCCUUGAGCCGUGGCUUUCGGAGCUAACGCGUUAAGUAGACCGCCUGGGGAGUACGGUCGCAAGAUUAAAACUCAAAUGAAUUGACGGGGGCCCGCACAAGCGGUGGAGCAUGUGGUUUAAUUCGAUGCAACGCGAAGAACCUUACCUACUCUUGACAUCCAGAGAAGCCAGCGGAGACGCAGGUGUGCCUUCGGGAGCUCUGAGACAGGUGCUGCAUGGCUGUCGUCAGCUCGUGUUGUGAAAUGUUGGGUUAAGUCCCGCAACGAGCGCAACCCUUAUCCUUGUUUGCCAGCGAGUAAUGUCGGGAACUCCAGGGAGACUGCCGGUGAUAAACCGGAGGAAGGUGGGGACGACGUCAAGUCAUCAUGGCCCUUACGAGUAGGGCUACACACGUGCUACAAUGGCGCAUACAGAGGGCAGCGAACUUGCGAGAGUGAGCGAAUCCCAAAAAGUGCGUCGUAGUCCGGAUUGGAGUCUGCAACUCGACUCCAUGAAGUCGGAAUCGCUAGUAAUCGUAGAUCAGAAUGCUACGGUGAAUACGUUCCCGGGCCUUGUACACACCGCCCGUCACACCAUGGGAGUGGGCUGCAAAAGAAGUGGGUAGUUUAACCUUCCGGAAGAGACUC